rnacentral:rRNA from 1 species
AUUGAACGCUGGCGGCAGGCCUAACACAUGCAAGUCGAGCGGAUGAAGGGAGCUUGCUCCUGGAUUCAGCGGCGGACGGGUGAGUAAUGCCUAGGAAUCUGCCUGGUAGUGGGGGAUAACGUCCGGAAACGGGCGCUAAUACCGCAUACGUCCUGAGGGAGAAAGUGGGGGAUCUUCGGACCUCACGCUAUCAGAUGAGCCUAGGUCGGAUUAGCUAGUUGGUGGGGUAAAGGCCUACCAAGGCGACGAUCCGUAACUGGUCUGAGAGGAUGAUCAGUCACACUGGAACUGAGACACGGUCCAGACUCCUACGGGAGGCAGCAGUGGGGAAUAUUGGACAAUGGGCGAAAGCCUGAUCCAGCCAUGCCGCGUGUGUGAAGAAGGUCUUCGGAUUGUAAAGCACUUUAAGGUGGGAGGAAGGGCAGUAAGUUAAUACCUUGCUGUUUUGACGUUACCAACAGAAUAAGCACCGGCUAACUUCGUG